UUGCAUUCAAGAAGCAGAAAGGCUUUCAAGUAUCAAAUCCACUGUUAGACAUCUUCUGUACAUAAAUAAAUUGGGGGGGGGGGUGUUGAUAAGGUAAUAUCGUGUCAAUUAAAUUUGGUUAAAUUCAACUUAUAAAUCGUUUUCUUAUUUGUUUCAGUCAUACUAUAUUUGUUCUGCAACAGAUCUAGUAAGAAUUGACAAUGUUAAGAAUCAGAAGGAAAACAGGCAUCUUUGGAGGUCCAUCCGUGCGUCGGUCCCAGUAGAUAAAAGGACUAGGGAGGUUAUUUUGGUUAGCUUAUGUAAGCAUCUAAAUUUUUGUACUAAACUUGAUGAAAGUCCUUUUUGGAGGGUUGUAAUAUGACGAUUACUCUAAGUCCGAAUGUAUGUAAAUUAUGGAUGUAUUAGUGAACUCUGGUAUAAGGCUAGUAGUAAUCCCAAUGGAUGUUUAUGUUUUUUCCGCGACA